rnacentral:rRNA from 1 species
GACGUAGGGGGCCAGCGUUGUUCGGAAUUACUGGGUGUAAAGGGUUCGUAGGCGGUGCGGCAAGUCGGGAGUGAAAUCUCUGGGCUCAACCCAGAGGCUGCUUCCGAAACUGCUGUGCUUGAGUGUGGGAGAGGCGCGUGGAAUUGCAGGUGUAGCGGUGAAAUGCGUAGAUAUCUGCAGGAACACCCGUGGCGAAAGCGGCGCGCUGGACCACUACUGACGCU